rnacentral:tRNA from 1 species
GCUGUGAUAGCCGAGUGGUUAAGGCGUUGGACUUGAAAUCCAAUAGUGUUCCCCUACGAAGAUUCGAAUCCUGCUCACAGCG